UACGUAGGGUGCAAGCGUUGUCCGGAAUUAUUGGGCGUAAAGAGCUCGUAGGCGGUCUGUCGCGUCGGCUGUGAAAACUCGGGGCUCAACUCCGAGCUUGCAGUCGAUACGGGCAGGCUAGAGUUCGGCAGGGGAGACUGGAAUUCCUGGUGUAGCGGUGAAAUGCGCAGAUAUCAGGAGGAACACCGGUGGCUAAGGCGGGUCUCUGGGCCGAUACUGACGCUCAUGCACGAAAGCGUGGGGAGCAAACAGG
rnacentral:rRNA from 1 species